AUUUGCUGGUCAACUCAAGGCACACUUUUCAGUAUAUACAAACAGUAUAUACAAUUCUCUUUCAAGUAGCUGUUUUCUAUUAUAAUAACUUAUCUUUUAUCGUUAUCUAAUAUUACCAAAUACUGUUUUUUAAUUUUGUAUGCUUGUGUGUACAUGUGUGUAUAAGUCUAUAUAUGCCAACAUGUGUCUGUGGAGAUCUAACUAUAUAACUUCAAGUAGUUGAUUCUGCCCUACAAUGUGAGAUGUAUGUAUGUGUGUGUGUGUGUGUGUGUGUGUGUGUAUGUAAGCAAGCUUGCCUGCAAAAGACUUUAUGCAAGGAGCCAGCUGACUAGCCAGAUACUGUCUCUUUAAACAAGAAGUUAAAUAUUCUAUUAACGGUACUAUUAGCAAGCUACUUUAUGUAAGAUUAACAUCUUCAUUCACUACUGAGAUGGACAAGCCGUCCUGAUCAUUUAGAAACUGAAGUCCUGCAACCUGUGAAGGUAAGCAAUCUAAACAGAGCUAAUGGCUGGGAGGAAGACUACAGAAGAUAAAAAAGCAUUUGCUUACAAGGCCAGAAUGGUUAAAACGUAAAUUAAGUGGCAUUAUCAAUUGUGCUUUCAAAAUACAUGUACAACAAUGAGAUCAGAGAGUAGAAGGAAAAUAUACUAGAAGUAGAGAGCAGUUUAGGGUUAUUACCAUGAACAACAACAAAAAAAAAAAAAAAAAAAAAGAAGAAAGAGAAGAAGAAGAAAGAGGAGGAGAAGGAGGAAAAGAACAAGGAAACCAUGAUGCUUACUGGUAGCCACUCAUUUUCUGUAAUCCUGAAAUUAAAAAUGGGGGCUGAGGGUGGAUAAAGCCCAGAAGCUGAUGCCUGUUUUGUUUACCAUGCACUUGGCUCUGGUUUGCAUCUCUAGCAACUCACCCCUCCCUCAAAAUUGAUGGAACACAGUGUAUUGGGGGCAAGGUAGCUGACUCAAAUAAUACCAGGGUUAUCAAAGAGGCUCAAUUUCACCUUGUGUGCAGAUGGCUAAAACUUGAAAGCAGAACAAACUGGCCCUAGUAAAACAGUUACUGUAAAUGCUGAACUCUUCAAACGUGACGAAUGGGCUUUUUAGGGGGGAACCUAAAGACUCUCCCCACCCCUGCAAAAGUGUAAGGGCAAAGAACAUUUUAUUCUUAAGGUCUUAAUAACGGGGCAAAACAACUAAAAAUAUUUAAUACCCAACAACAUUACCACAAUAAACAAGAAUAUUCAACAUGUGGCUACCUUGCCCUUGUUUGUGUUAAGUAUACAACAUUCACCCAGAACGUGCAGCAGGGAUGACACAUGACUGACCACACAGUGAGCUGCAUCCGUACCUUUAAGUAAGCGAUGUGAUACUCUAGAAGAACUUGCACAUUCCCAAUGCUUUCUUUAGUGCCAACAAAUACAAAUGGAACCAUUCCCUGUAAGAAAACACAAUGUCCUCAAUAUAACACACUAAUAUAUAAUUAAGUUUUUUUCCAACACACAGUAAUUAAUCUAAAAUGUAGAGAUUUUUCAAUGCCUCAUUUCUGCUAAAAUUUACAUUUCAGUUUGC
rnacentral:lncRNA from 1 species